UAGGGAAUCUUCGGCAAUGGGCGCAAGCCUGAUGGAGCAACACCGCGUGAGUGAAGAAGGGUUUCGGCUCGUAAAGCUCUGUUGUUAAAGAAGAACACGUAUGAGAGUAACUGUUCAUACGUUGACGGUAUUUAACCAGAAAGUCACGGCUAACUACGUGCCAG
rnacentral:rRNA from 1 species